UACAGAGGUCUCAAGCGUUGUUCGGAUUCAUUGGGCGUAAAGGGUGCGUAGGCGGCGCGGUAAGUCGGGUGCGAAAUCUCGGAGCUUAACUCCGAAACUGCAUUCGAUACUGCCGUGCUUGAGGACUGGAGAGGAGACUGGAAUUUACGGUGUAGCGGUGAAAUGCGUAGAUAUCGUAAGGAAGACCAGUGGCGAAGGCGGGUCUCUGGACAGUUCCUGACGCUGAGGCGCGAAGGCUAGGGGAGCAAACAGG
rnacentral:rRNA from 1 species